AUAUCAAUAAGCGGAGGAAAAGAAACCAACAGGGAUUGCCCUAGUAACGGCGAGUGAAGCGGCAACAGCUCAAAUUUGAAAUCUGGCGCAAGCCCGAGUUGUAAUUUGUAGAGGAUGCUUCUAGGCAGCGGCCGGUCUAAGUUUCUUGGAACAGGACGUCAUAGAGGGUGAGAAUCCCGUAUGCGACCGGCUGGCACCUUAUACGUAGCUCCUUCGACGAGUCGAGUUGUUUGGGAAUGCAGCUCUAAAUGGGAGGUAAAUUUCUUCUAAAGCUAAAUACCGGCCAGAGACCGAUAGCGCACAAGUAGAGUGAUCGAAAGAUGAAAAGCACUUUGGAAAGAGAGUUAAAAAGCACGUGAAAUUGUUAAAAGGGAAGCGCUUGCAACCAGACUUGUUAGUGAUGUUCCGCCGGUCUUCUGACCGGUCCACUCAUCGCAUGCAGGCCAGCAUCGUCUGGGAUCGCCGGAUAAAGACGUGAGGAAUGUGGCUCCCCACGGGGAGUGUUAUAGCCACACGUGCAAUACGGCGUGACCCGGGCGAGGUCCGCGCUUCGGCUAGGAUGCUGGCGUAAUGGUCGUAAGCGG
rnacentral:rRNA from 1 species